GAUGAACGCUGACGGCGUGCCUAAUACAUGCAAGUCGAGCGAACGGACGAGAAGCUUGCUUCUCUGAUGUUAGCGGCGGACGGGUGAGUAACACGUGGAUAACCGACCUAUAAGACUGGGAUAACUUCGGGAAACCGGAGCUAAUACCGGAUAAUAUUUUGAACCGCAUGGUUCAAAAGUGAAAGACGGUCUUGCUGUCGCUUAUAGAUGGAUCCGCGCUGCAUUAGCUAGUUGGUAAGGUAACGGCUUACCAAGGCAACGAUGCAUAGCCGACCUGAGAGGGUGAUCGGCCACACUGGAACUGAGACACGGUCCAGACUCCUACGGGAGGCAGCAGUAGGGAAUCUUCCGCAAUGGGCGAAAGCCUGACGGAGCAACGCCGCGUGAGUGAUGAAGGUCUUCGGAUCGUAAAACUCUGUUAUUAGGGAAGAACAUAUGUGUAAGUAACUGUGCACAUCUUGACGGUACCUAAUCAGAAAGCCACGGCUAACUACGUG
rnacentral:rRNA from 1 species